rnacentral:misc_RNA from 1 species
GGGGCUUUAGUACCAUUUAUUUAUUUUAAUUUGUUUUGCCAAACCAAAAAUAUUUAAUUAGGCACCAAACACACUUUAGCUCAUAGGUAAAAGAUCAAGUUGAGUUUGGAGUUAUCUUUUAAGAAACAGAUAACUAAAACAUAUUCAAAAUGUCAAAAAAAAUAGGAAGUGACUAUAAUAUUGACCGCUUUUCGAGAUAGGUCACGACCCCCUUACAUCUGAGAGGAAAAAGGUAGUUCCAAUUAUUGGUGGAAUUUCUCUGCAAUGAAAGUACUUAUAUGAAACCCACAAUGCAUGAGGUUAGAAUGCAUAAAAAUGAUGGCAAAAAGCUAACCAGAAGGGUCUAGAUACUCACCCCAAGUCUGUAGGUCAUUUUAUUUUUCUGACGAUGUAAAUUCAUCCGGUUGGUACCAAAUCAAAGAUCUCACCAUGCAGAGCUUAGAAAUGGUCUCAAUGUCUGGAAAAUGGCUAGAAAGGAAUUAGUGGCGAGUUUUUUCCCUCUCCUAAUUCAAUGGCUUACUAGCAUCAAUUACUGGCAAGAAAGUUACAAUUGGGAUAUCAGAGGUCGAUUAAUCGAGUGUAGGUAGCAGCCGGCAAGGACGAGAUUUGGCCAAGUUGGUUCAUAGGUUGCAAUAUGAGCCACUAGUUUCUACCUCAUUUAGCAAUAGAGAGAUUAGUGGCUUAUAGCUUUAGCUUCCUCCGAUAGAGACAAAGCAAUCAACGCCAAGUUUGAGGUGAUCAGAGGUUGGAUAGCGAUGGUAUAUGGAGAGGAAGCUUUGCUGGGAAUAAGGAGGAGAGAGAGAGAGAGAGAGAUAGUGAAGUGUGAAAGGAAAGAGGUUGUUGAAGAAAGCUGCAACGUCCUCCAACACUAGGCCUUGGGAAGAUAGAUAAUUGGAUUGAAAUGAAAACAAAAUGGUAAAAGGAUGCGUUUGGUUAGAAAAACCAUACCACCAUAUAGCAG